rnacentral:lncRNA from 1 species
CGUGAACAAUAUUUUUGAACUGUCUUUGUCAAUAACGGAAAAUUCAUUGCGAUUCAUGUUAACAAAGAAUCCAAGUUUUCCAGUGACAAGUGUACCGACUGUAUUACUGCUACUUAUUACUUUUAUCUCUUCAUCUGUAUUUGCAUCCAAAUGAUUGGCUGUAAGGCAUAUGUCAGUAUUGCAAUUAUGUAUUACAAAUGACCAUCCAUGUUGUCCGAUAUAAUAUUCAGUAUCUGGCUUUUCACGACUUGCUACUCCUAUAUCGACGACCAAGUUAGUGCUGUUCAAAGACUUUAAUAUUUCAAACGAGAACAUGAUCUCAAAGUAUAUUUUACUUGUAGAGGUUAAGCAUCUAUCUCCUAUUGUUCCUUUGUAAGUGUUAAACUGUUCCGGAUGAUUAACGAGAUUCGGAGUCUCUUUU